UAAGACUUGCAGGACACUAACCCGCAACUUCUGCAUGCAAAACAGACACUUUAAUUAAGCUAAAGCCUU
rnacentral:tRNA from 1 species